rfam:Triticum aestivum genome assembly, contig: Triticum_aestivum_CS42_TGACv1_scaffold_288879_4AL
AUAAUACUCCCUCCGUCCGGAAACACUUGUCAUCAAAAUGGAUAAAAGAGGGUGUAUCUAGAUGUAUUUUAGUUCAAGAUGCAUCUAUUUUGAUGACAAGUAUUUUCGGACGGAGGAGUAAUAA